CACGCUGUAAACGGUGGAUACUGGGUAUUGGGGACGAGAAAUGUUCUCAGUGCCGAAGCUAACGCGUUAAGUAUCCCGCCUGGGGACUACGAUCGCAAGGUUAAAACUCAAAGGAAUUGACGGGGCCCGCACAAGCAGCGGAGCGUGUGGUUUAAUUCGAUGCGACACGAAGAACCUUACCUGGGCUUGACAUGUACGUGGUAGGGAACCGAAAGGGGACCGACCCUUCGGGAGGCCUAUACAGGUGCUGCAUGGCUGUCGUCAGCUCGUGUCGUGAGAUGUCCGGUUAAGUCCGGUAACGAGCGCAACCCUCGCCACGUGUUACAUGUGUCACGUGGGACCGCCGGUAUCAAGCCG
rnacentral:rRNA from 1 species